UAGGGAAUCUUCCGCAAUGGGCGAAAGCCUGACGGAGCAACGCCGCGUGAGUGAUGAAGGUCUUCGGAUCGUAAAACUCUGUUAUUAGGGAAGAACAAAUGUGUAAGUAACUAUGCACAUCUUGACGGUACCUAACCAGAAAGCCACGGCUAACUACGUGCCAGCAGCCGCGGUAAUACGUAGGUGGCAAGCGUUGUCCGGAUUUAUUGGGCGUAAAGCGAGCGCAGGCGGUUUAAUAAGUCGAAUGUUAAAGAUCGGGGCUCAACCCCGUAAAGCAUUGGAAACUGAUAAACUUGAGUAGUGGAGAGGAAAGUGGAAUUCCUAGUGUAGUGGUGAAAUACGUAGAUAUUAGGAGGAAUACCAGUAGCGAAGGCGACUUUCUGGACACAAACUGACGCUGAGGUACGAAAGCGUGGGGAGCAAACAGG
rnacentral:rRNA from 1 species